rnacentral:misc_RNA from 1 species
UUGAUGCGUUUCCGUCACACUCAGAGAGGCCGUCGAGGCAGGAGGGGUCUGUGGGCUUCUGGCGGGCACCCCGCGGCCCCUCCCUGGGGCCGCCCGCCGAAGCAACGUGGGUAGGUUCGCAGUGGUCUGGAGUCUCCGACUCGGUAAUGAUCCCUCCGCUGGUUCACCAACGGAGA